rnacentral:rRNA from 1 species
CAGCCGCCACGGUAAUACGGUGGGUGCGAGCGUUAAUCGGAAUUACUGGGCGUAAAGCGUACGCAGGCGGUUUGUUAAGUCAGAUGUGAAAUCCCCGAGCUUAACUCGGGAACUGCAUUUGAAACUGGCAGGCUAGAGUCUCGUAGAGGGGGGUAGAAUUCCAGGUGUAGCGGUGAAAUGCGUAGAGAUCUGGAGGAAUACCGGUGGCGAAGGCGGCCCCCUGGACGAAGACUGACGCUCAGGUACGAAAGCGUGGGGAGCAAACAGGAUUAGAGACCCCAGUAGUCCCUGUCUCUUAUAC